rnacentral:rRNA from 1 species
AACGAACGCUGGCGGCAUGCCUAACACAUGCAAGUCGAACGAGACCUUCGGGUCUAGUGGCGCACGGGUGCGUAACGCGUGGGAACCUGCCCUUAGGUUCGGAAUAACUCCCCGAAAGGGGUGCUAAUACCGGAUAAUGUCUUCGGACCAAAGAUUUAUCGCCUUUGGAUGGGCCCGCGUUGGAUUAGCUAGUUGGUAGGGUAAAAGCCUACCAAGGCGACGAUCCAUAGCUGGUCUGAGAGGAUGAUCAGCCACUCUUGGACUGAGACACGGCCCAGACUCCUACGCGAGGCAGCAGUGGGGAAUAUUGGACCAUGGGCGAAGGCCUGAUCCAGCACUGCCGCGUGAGUGAUGAAGGCCUUAGGGUUGUAAAGCUCUUUUACCCGGGCUGAUAAUGACAGUACCGGGAGAAUAAGCUCCGGCUAACUCCGUG